AGCCAGUCUAUGUCUUUUGGUUGGGGUGUUUAGUCCAUCAACACUUAAGGUUUGAACAGGGAUGUGGCCACAGCAAGACAGUCAUCAUCAAACGAGCCCCUUUCUUUGUCACCUGGACUCCUCCUACCCAUGUCCUCCUGCAGCGGAGGUCUCUCAGAAUACUCCUGAGUACACAUGGAGGACCCACAACCAAAGCCCAGGACUGGGCGAGCGUCUCCCAGCCCAGCACAAGGUCCUCGUUCAGCUCCAGCUCCUCUGCUCAUUUGCACUGUCCCUCUCCUGCAAUGUCGCGAUCUGCACUGGAAGCCCACAGGUGACAGGGUUUGGUCCUCAGAGUAAGCAAAGCAAAGCACCAGCUCCCUGUGACCAUCUCAGUAGCUCUGGCUUCAGUUCUGUCUUUCUACCCAAGAUUCAUUCCUCUGGGGAACUUUUCCCUUCCUUUCUUCCAAGGAGCAGGAAGAAAGAGGACUUUUUACUUCCAUAUCUCUUUCCAUUUAAAAUAAAAGAGGAGUUCCCAUCGUGGCUCAGAGGAAACGAAUGUGAUUAGCAUCUAUGAGGUCACAGGUUCCAUCCCUGGCCUCCCUCAGUGGGUUAAGGAUUCGGCAUUGCCGGGAGCAGUAGUGUAGGUCACAGACACGGCUCGGAUCUGCCAUUGCUGUGGCUGUGAUGUCGGCCGGUGGCUGCAGCUCCAAUUCGACCCCCUAGCCUAGGAGCCUCCAUUUGCCACAGGAGCGGCCCUAGAAAGACACACAGAAAAAAGAAUGCAAUUAAAGAGAACCACUCAGAAGGAGAGGAAAUAUUUUGCACUUCUAGAACCAAGCAUGCAGAGAUGGUCGACCAUGGCAGCCAAAGUCACAAGUCUGGAAAAAUGUAUCAUUUUCAGCAAAAGCCAAAGGGAACUGAGGGUGUGUCAGAGAAACAAAUCUCAAAAUACUGAGCUUAUCCAAAGCAAACAAAUAGCAUUUGUCAGAGAGCUCACUUUCCACAUGAGUUAUAUCCCUUCCUAGUGGGUUUACACCCAAGCCCCCUCUUCUGUCCACACCACUUUCUAGAGAGUUACCGUGCUUUGCUUGUGCAGUACCCUGUAGGGCUGAGGGAGGGAGGGAGGGGGGACGUCCUCCUUUCCAGCUCAAGGACGGAGCGCACCCGGCAUCUCUCUCACCUGAGGCACCACUUCCACCUUCCAGCUGGUCUCCUCCCAUGUUUUCUUUACUGCAGGACUUCUCAGAGCCUUUAGUAUCUUGAUGAUCAUCCAAGAGAGAAAUACAUAAUAAUGGACACAUCCCAAACUUAUGCUGGAGGAAUCCUUUAUUCGAGGGGCAUCUACUAGCAUCUCUCUGGCCACUACAGUUCCAGAAACUCAGUUCAGCCUAUAGGAUUCAAUGCCAACUCCUCAACAGUCACUCAAGGCCUUCCAUCGUCUGGGGGUACACCUCCCAUUCCAGGCUCGUUCUCUGCCUCCCUCUUAUACUUUUCCUGUGAGUCCCUAAACAAGAUCAUCUCAUUUCAAGUUUCAGUGCCUUUGCAUAUGCUAUUCCACCAGCCUGAAAUGCUUUUCCCUACCCAUCCUCUGAGGUUGACCCUGCCAAUUCUGCGAAAUGUCCCCAGCUCCCCCAGGCUAAACACAGACAUACUGGCCUUGAUGUUCCCGCAGCUCUCUCGGCCCGCUCCCUGUUAGCAACCCGCCACCCUCGACUACAAAUGUGUUUACAACCUGCCGAUCCUUUGUUUUGCUUCUUGCUCUCUUCAGACCCAACUCCUCAGCCUCUCACCAGUUCUAUGAGACACCCAUUCCCCUUUAAUACUUUUCUUCUUUUUAAAAAAGGUAGUGAGAAUUAGGUUCUGUUGCUUACAAUCGGGAGUUCCCCUUGUGGCUUGGUGCAUUAAGAACCCAAUUAGUAUCCAUGAGGACGCAGGUUUGAUCCCUGGGCUUGGUCAGCAGGUGAAGGAUCCUGCAUGUCUCUACGCUGUGGCACAGGUGGCAGAUGCGGCUUGGAUCCCGCGUUGCUAUGGUUAUGGCAUGGGAAGAGCCAGCAGCUGCAGCUCUGAUGCAAUUCCUAGCCCAGGAACUUCCAUAUGCCACAGAUGUGGCCAUAAAAAUAGAAAAAAGGCAACCCUCCCCAAAUCUUAACCUCUCCACACCCAGGUAGAAGAAUUUUAAAACAUCUAUAGUCAAAGCAACACAUGUUGAAAAUGGCAAAAAAAAAAACAAAAAAAAAAAACAAAAAAAAAA
rnacentral:lncRNA from 1 species